rnacentral:rRNA from 1 species
AGCAGCCGCGGUAAUUCCAGCUCCAAUAGCGUAUAUUAAAGUUGUUGCAGUUAAAAAGCUCGUAGUUGAAUUUCGAGAUCAAAUUGUUGGUCGUGCCUCGGUACGUACUGGCAUUAUUGAUUUCUCCUUUCUGAAGAACCUUGAUGUCAUUAAUUUGGUGUCUUGGGGAAUCAGGACCGUUACUUUGAAAAAAUUAGAGUGUUUAAAGCAGGCUCACGCUUGAAUACAUUAGCAUGGAAUAAUGAAAUAGGACGUUUGAUUCUAUUUUGUUGGUUUCUAGGAUCGACGUAAUGAUUAAUAGGGAUAGUUGGGGGCAUUAGUAUUCAAUUGUCAGAGGUGAAAUUCUUGGAUUUAUUGAAGACUAACUACUGCGAAAGCAUUUGCCAAGGAUGUUUUCAUUAAUCAAGAACGAAAGUUAGGGGAUCGAAGACGAUCAGAUACCGUCGUAGUCUUAACCAUAAACUAAUGCCGACUAGGGAUCGGAUGAUGUUAAUUUUUAAUUGACUCAUUCGGCGCCUUA